UUGGGGAGGGUCCCUUUUGCCGGAAGUUACUGAGGAAAACACGCAGAUCAGCUGCUGUGAGUUGGCAGCGGCGGCGGCUUAUAGGCGGCAGAAGGCGAGCUCCUGUUGGAGGGUGGGGAGGAGAGGCGCGUGCCCCUCUCCCUUCCGCUCCCUCCCCCUCAUCGCGUGAGGGACGCAGGACGUCGGGGCCGGGAGCCGCAGUGCUGCGCGGGGCGGAAGCGGCCGCGGAACGUUCCCAAGAUGUUGCCUACCACGUCUCUUAAUUCCCUAGACCAUGACAACGGCUCUUUAAACUCUAGGGAGGCAGCCAGGCACACAGCAGGGUUCAAGCGCUACAAAUACUUGAGGAGACUCCUUCACUUUCGGCAUAUGGACUUCGAGUUUGCUCUGUGGCAGAUGCUGUAUCUAUUCACUUCACCACAGAAAGUGUACAGGAACUUCCAUUACAGGAAACAAACGAAAGACCAGUGGGCAAGAGAUGACCCAGCUUUCCUUGUGUUGCUGAGUAUCUGGCUCUGCGUAUCCACUAUAGGAUUCGGCUUUGUGUUGGGCUUGGGUUUUGUUGAAAUGAUAAAGCUGCUGCUCUGGGUCAUCUUUAUAGACUGCGUAGGAGUUGGCCUUCUAAUUGCAACUUUCAUGUGGUUUAUCUCCAAUAAGUACUUGACAAAGCACCCGAACAGAGACUGUGAUGUAGAGUGGGGAUAUGCCUUUGAUGUUCAUCUGAAUGCUUUUUAUCCACUUCUCGUCAUCUUACAUUUCAUACAGCUGUUCUUCAUCCAUUACGUAAUUUUAUUGAAUUCAUUUAUUGGCUAUUUCGUUGGGAAUACUUUCUGGCUGACUGCAAUUGGUUAUUACAUCUACGUGACAUUUCUAGGGUACAGUGCUUUGCCGUUCCUGAAGAACACAGUCAUCCUUCUCUACCCGUUUGCACUUCUCAUCCUGCUCUAUGUGGUUUCAUUAGCGAUGGGAUGGAAUUUCACAAAAAUGCUUUGUGUUUUCUAUACGUACAGAGUGAAAUAAACUGCAGCCUUUAUAAUGGAUUGCUUGUUCUUGCCUCUUGUACUACUGUCAGCAAAGAUGUGGAGCUAAGACAGAAAUUGUGGCUUACCUAAGGCCAGCCAGUGAUCUCAUGGAAGGUAAUGUUUGAAGAUAGGCUCUCGGCCACUAUGCUACACAAGCUCUCUUUUUUAUUUUUUAACUAUUUUUAUUAGAUGCCCAAUAACAGUCAUUCUUUGGGCAACACACAAAGUAGUAAAACAAGAUAAAAUCUUAAGCGCAUACUUAUCUUCCCAGCCAAAUGGAGAAGGAAAGAGUCUCAUCAAACCUAGUCUAUAAAUAUAGGACAGAUUCAACCAAGAAAAAAAUAUUUUUGGAGGGGGACUUCUAUUGUGGAAACAUCUUGAACAAUUUGUAAGUUGAUUUUAAAAUGUAUAUUAUUAUGACACUUUUUAGAAAAAAAUCUCAUGAGGGGGAAGGUGGGCAGACACCUUUUCGCAGACACCUAUUCGCAUAAAUUUUACAAAUCAUUUUCACCCUUGAGAGAAGGCAGACAGUUCUUUUUUGGCAAAGCUGGCAUCCAAGAUGCAGAAUUAUCUUAAGAUUCAGCUCAUGAAACAAACUACCACCACUUAAGUAAACUUCUGUUUACCUGCAUGAGUGACAGGCGUGCAGUUGAGGUAAAAAAACAACAACAACUUAGCUUCUCAUAUCUUGGCUAGGGUUAAGGGAGUUCUUUAAAAACUAUUAUUACAUACUAUUGCGUAUUUACUGUGCUGCAGAGCACAAAGUGCUAGAAUUGCCUCUCUUCAAGGCUACUGACCAAGCAAGGAUCUCUUCUUCUUUUCCUUGAAGUACAAAAGACAACAAGCAUCUAGAAUCACACGAAGUCCCUUGCUUCAGUCAGCUGGAGUGCAAUGCUUUUAGCAGGAGCUGGGCCCUCUUAAAGGGGGAAAAAAUCACUUUUCACACUUGAAAGUAAAGACAGACAAAUCACAUUUUUAAAAAAGCUCAGCUGAGGUUACUGUGUAUCUACCUAUUUCCACUGUUAUCCCUAAUAAAAUGGUAAGUUUAAGUCAUUCCAUAAGAAUGCGCAGAGAUCAUACAAAACGGGAUGUGAAGCAAAAACAAAAAGGUAAAUGCGGAAACAUCAGAGCGCUUUUCUAUCCAAAUGAAUAAAUUGGCUGUGUUUCGGAAGAUUGUACAAAGGUUUAAAAAGGAAUAAUCCAUUAUCAAAAUUUCCCUUUAAUGGGAGAGGAUGAAUCAAACUUCAGAUUCACACACCAUACUGAAGUACAAAACUCCUCAACAUGCUUUCUACGAUUACAUAUUGUGGACUGUGAGCAUUAGAAAGUAAUGCUAUUCAAAGUCCUUGCAUGUUACAGUAUGCCUUUGAACAACAUCUCCUAGAUUUUGGGCAUAAGCCAUAGGGGAAGUUGUCCUAUGCAAAAUCACAUUUACUUCUGUGCAGGAUAACUUUUUAAAGUUGCGUUCUUAGUAUGGUACAAAAGUGCUUCAUCUUUAAACUCCCAUUUAACACUCCUAACCAUGGCAGUAUAUUACAAAAUAUGGUCACUUCAUCACCAAAGCAAAAUGUAGUGUUAACCCAAGAAGUAAGAUCAUCCGUUUAAAAAAAAAA